CCAUGNGUAGCGGUGAAAUGCGUAGAUAUAUGGAGGAACACCAGUGGCGAAAGCGGCUCUCUGGUCUGUCACUGACGCUGAGGCUCGAAAGCGUGGGUAGCGAACAGGAUUAGAUACCCUGGUAGUCCACGCCGUAAACGAUGAGUGCUAGGUGUUAGGCCCUUUCCGGGGCUUAGUGCCGGAGCUAACGCAAUAAGCACUCCGCCUGGGGAGUACGACCGCAAGGUUGAAACUCAAAGGAAUUGACGGGGGCCCGCACAAGCGGUGGAGCAUGUGGUUUAAUUCGAAGCAACGCGAAGAACCUUACCAGGUCUUGACAUCCCGAUGCUAUUCUUAGAGAUAGGAAGUUACUUCGGUACAUCGGAGACAGGUGGUGCAUGGUUGUCGUCAGCUCGUGUCGUGAGAUGUUGGGUUAAGUCCCGCAACGAGCGCAACCCUUAUUGUUAGUUGCCAUCAUUAAGUUGGGCACUCUAGCGAGACUGCCGGUAAUAAACCGGAGGAAGGUGGGGAUGACGUCAAAUCAUCAUGCCCCUUAUGACCUGGGCUACACACGUGCUACAAUGGUCGGUACAACGAGUUGCGAGCCGGUGACGGCAAGCUAAUCUCUGAAAGCCGAUCUCAGUUCGGAUUGGAGGCUGCAACUCGCCUCCAUGAAGUCGGAAUCGCUAGUAAUCGCGGAUCAGCACGCCGCGGUGAAUACGUUCCCGGGCCUUGUACACACCGCCCGUCACACCACGAGAGUUUGUAACACCCGAAGUCGGUGAGGUANCCUUUUAGGG
rnacentral:rRNA from 1 species